AUGUUUUCUGUUUUUUCCUCCUGCAGUCUAUUUCCUACUGCAAUAUGUGAAGGAAGCUCUGUCCAGGCCCUUCUCAAUCCCUACCGAGGAGGUGAGCUACAAAUGGAUUCCAAAGGCAUCAUUUCUCAUGUAUCAUUCUGCACUGCUAUUAAUCCUGAUAGUACAACUGUGAGCCUACUGCUUGGAAUUUCUAAGUGGUGCAGGGGAUGUAACCACCUGACGUUAGGUGAGUUAAACCAUAAUUGGGCUCCCUAUGAAAAAUGGUCAGAUUUGCAGUAUGUUUAGCACCCACAGCUCCUACUAAAUUAAACUUCAUUAACUUAUCAAAAGACACAGUGGGAACAUCAGUACCAGUAAUAGAACUAAGGGAUUCCUGCCAGCCAAUCUUGCGUUCACACCACUGAUCUCUAUUAUAGUGAAGACCGUAUAAGCAGGGAAAAGUUCAGCAGACACAAUAAGGAUCUUAAGCAUAAAUAAUGGAGAGAAAAUGAAAUUUUUGUUUGAUUGAAGUCAAUGGCUAUAUUGAUGCUAAAUUCUGCUGGGGCUUAAAUUAACCCUAUGGACUUGAUUUCCAUAUGCAGUAAGCAUUUGCAUCUCUUUCAUAGCAAAUAAUGAUGGCAAAGUAUAAAAACAGUCUAUUCUUGAAGUUGCUAAAAUGAUGUGAAGUAACCACAGAAAAGAGAAUCGUGCCCCUGUAAUGAAGAUUAGAUAGGAUAAAGCAAAGACAAUGUCGGUCCCUGUGGAAGGUGCUGGUUAACGUAAUUAUAUGUCUACUACAGGAGAGUAUUCCUGCACCAAAACCAAAAUGUAGUAGCAGUAAAAUGAGAGAAAAGGAGGGAUACUGGGUAAUAAUGUACAGUAGCAAUUGGAAAAGAAAUCUGAAAUAUCCCACUGGAGGAUGGUAAUCAAAGACAGUUUAAAAGAUCAACUUGAAGUAUUUUUAUUUUCACAGCACACAAAAAGUGAGAAAUUAAAUUAGGAUGACCUGAGCACAUUUUGCAAAGGGCAAUGCUACUGGAGUGGAAUAUUGAUGACUCACAAAUGCUACUCUUAUUUAUAAUACUCAAACUGAUGAGAAGUUGUCUGCUGUAUACAUACGUUAUUGGAAUAUCAUUACUUUGGAGGGUAGAACAUUCUAAGAUUAAAUUUAUAGAAUGUUCAGACAUUGUGAUUUUGUUUUAAUAUUGCUAAUCAUAGAUCUUUCAAACAAAUGUGAUUAGUUAGACUAUACAUUACAUAUUUAAAUCACCACAACUCCUCUAUUUCACAGUAACUAAGAGCUCUGGGCAAUAAUAAAAUGUGAGUAAUGACCCUUUUCA
rnacentral:lncRNA from 1 species